UACGAAGGGGCUAGCGUUGCUCGGAAUUACUGGGCGUAAAGCGCACGUAGGCGGUCUUUUAAGUCGGGGUGAAAUCCUGGAGCUCAACUCCAGAACUGCCUUCGAUACUGGAAGACUCGAGUCCGGGAGAGGUGAGUGGAACUGCGAGUGUAGAGGUGAAAUUCGUAGAUAUUCGCAAGAACACCAGUGGCGAAGGCGGCUCACUGGCCCGGUACUGACGCUGAGGUGCGAAAGCGUGGGGAGCAAACAGGG
rnacentral:rRNA from 1 species